rnacentral:lncRNA from 1 species
CUGGGAUUACAGGCGUGAGCCACCGUGCCCGGCUGCAUCUUCAUUAUCAACAAGCUCCUUGAUGAUUGUGAUGCAGGCGGCCUGGACCACACUUUGAGAAGCACUACUUUAGGGAAGGCCUCUCGGAAUGGAAUGUGCAUGCAAAUCACCUGGGGACCUUGCUAAACGGGAGCUUCUGAUUCUGCAUUUCUAACCAGCUCCCAGAUGAUGCCAGGGAUGCUGGUCUGCAGACUGCAGCUUGUGUAGCAAGGCUACAUAGCCGUGGUUCUCAAAGUGUGAGUCCUCAACGGGCAUCAGUAUCACUUGGGAACUUGUUAGAAAUGCAGAUUAUCAGGCCGCAUCUCAGACUUACUGAAUCAGGAACUCUGGGGGUGGAGCUCAACAAUGUUUUUUUAAAAAGCAUGAUUGUAUACAUUCAUGAUACAUAACAUGUAUAUAUACAUUGUGAAAUGACCACAAUCAAGCUAUUUAAUAUGUUCAUCAUCUCGCAUAGUUAUCUUUUGUAUGUGAAAAGAACACUUAAAAUCUACUCUUAGCAACUUUCAAGUAUACGAUACAUGAUUAUUAAGAUUAUUAACUGUAGUCACCGUGCUGUGCAAUAGACAUCCAGAAAUUAGUCAUCCUGUCUAACUGAAACUCUGUACUCUUUGACCAACGUCACCCAUUGCCUCCGCCUCCCCAAGCAGUCUGUUUUAGCAGGCUCUCCAGGUGAUGCCGAUGCACACUGGAACUUGAGAACCACUGUGGAGGGCUAUCAAGUGCUUCUAGUCCCUCCCAGAUGCUUCCCAACCCUGGAGCAGCACCUCAGUAGAGCAGCGGAAGACCGCCUGUGGCCUCUGGGAAUUGCUGAUACCGAGCAGAGACAGUCCCUGACCAGAGACGUUUAGGAAUGUGAUGGGUCAGAAGUGGUUUCCAAAUGUUGAAAUUUUGACCAUUGAAUUGAGCUGACUUGGAUUCUCAAUGUUGGUCGACAGUCUGGUGGCAACAGGAGUGGCCUCCCUGCACUGGUGUCUUGGGAAGAAGGGUCCUUGGAGCCGAAGAUGAUUUUGGGGAGUGAAAGAGACCGCCUUUUCCUGGUAAUAGCAGAGCCAAAACUCCAGCCUUCAACCCACAGACCGGGGCCUGUCCCCAGGCAUCGCCACCCACCCCAUGGCCUCAUCGUCAUCUGUGACUUUUGCCUCCCUGCAUCUCAGUUUCCAUGCCUGUCAAGUGGAGAUAUAAUACCUCAUUCUGGGGAGAUACAAUGAAGCACUGCUGGUAAAAAGUACACGUGCUAUACAAAAUUAGGAAAUCCUUGUCACCAGACUUAGAGAAAAAUACAAAGUGGAGUUGACUCCCAGGUUGGAGACACAGCUUCCCAGCCCCCUGGCAACCACCGUUCUGUUUUCUGCCUCUAGGAAUGUGACUGCUCUAGGUAUCUCAUGUAAGUGGAAUCAUAGUAUUUGUCCUUUUGUGUCUCGCUUACUUCACUUAAUAAAGUGUUUUCAAGGUUCAUCCAUGUCGUAGCAUGUGCCAGAAUUUCCUUCUUUUUGAAGGCUGAAUAAUAUUCCACUGUGUGGAUAUUCCACACUUUGUUUAUACCCACCUCUAUUGAUGGGCAUUUGGGUUGUUUCCACCUUUGGCUAUUGUGAAUAAUGCUGCUAUGAACCACGGUGUGCAAAUAGCUGUUUGAGUCCCGUUUCCGAUUUUUUGGAGGAACAUACCCAGAAGUGGGAUUGCUGAUCAUAUGGUAAUCUAUGUUAAAUUUUUUUGAGGAGCCAGAAUACUAGCUCCCACAGUAGCUGCUCCAUUUUGCAUACCCACCAGCAAUACACUAGGGCCCCAAUUUUCCCACAUCUUCGUCAACACUUGUUAUUUUCUGUUUCUUUGGUUACAGCCAUCCUAAUGGAUGUGAGGUGGUACCUUAUUGUGGCUUCGAUUUGCAUUUCCCUAGCAAUUAAUGAUGGUGAGCAUAUUUCAUGUGGAUCCGUAAAUUUUUAGUAAUAUUUAAAAGAUUUCAGCAGG